ensembl:lncRNA ZCCHC14-DT ZCCHC14 divergent transcript
AUUGUUUUUCGGCGAAAACGGGGCGUUCGGCCUUCCUGCUUUAUUUUUGAGCGGUGUAAGAGGGAGGUAGUGGGUAUCUUCGAGAAACGGCCGCCGCGGGGUCCGGAGCCCCGGGUUCCAAUCCCGGGUCGGCCACUGCAAAGCUGUGUGACCUUGGGCGAGUCACUUGGCCUCUCUGAGCCCCAGGCGCCUCCCCGGGAAAAAGAGGGAUAUGGUCCAAGGUGCUGAAAACUUCCUAACAAAACUCUUCAGCCGAAUCUGGCACGCCUGUGGUUCCAGCUACUGGGUAGACCGAGGCAGGAGGAUCGCUUGAGGCCAAGAGUUUAAGACCAACCUGGGCAACAUGAUGAAGAAACUGAGGUUUAGAGCAGCCGCUUGCCCAGCGUAGACAGCGAGAAGGACAGGUCCAGUUCUGCUUGAUGAUGAAGCCUGUGUCUUCUCUGCUGUGUGAUCCUAAUCACGUUGGGAGGUUCCUGAGGAAGCAGAGGAUUUUGCCCUUGCAUUUGAGCCACAGCAGCUCUAAGGGUCUGUAACUUUCACCAGAUUCUUAAGGAGUCUGUGACCUGGGAGAGUUUUAAGAGUGGGAAAGCUGUAAGGCCACGCUCAGGCUGGAUUCCAGCCGUGGGACCCCUCGCUUCACUUCUCUGAGCCUCAACUUCCUCAUCUGUGCAAUGGGGCAGCCUCGUGGACAUGCAGGAUUGCAGUUCUGGACAUGCAGAGCCUGGCAUCCAGAGGAGCCCAGCGCCCGCCAACUGCAGCACCCAGCACCAGCAACCCCAGGGUUGGGGGCUGACUCCAUUCUUCUCCCCAGGGCUACACCAGCUCUAGCUUCCUGGCCGCCAGUUUCCCCAGCAACUUCAUUUUGUUUAUUUGCAAUGGCUUAUUGGGGUCUCCUGGAGAAAAGAUUCUCAGCUGAGUUCCAGAAAAUGAACACGCUCUCCCCGUGCUCGGAGAGCUCCCAGCUGUUCUCUUGGCUGGCCGGCUCAGAAGAAAUGAUGUUAGGAAUGUUUAUCUCGGAGGAAGCGGAAGAGCUCCUUUCAGCAAAAUAAGAAUGAACCACAAAACAGGGUGCAGGGGGCCUUGUCAAGGCAUCAUAGCGUGGUGCCAUGGGAACAUCCCCUUCCUUUGUCCUGCCUCAGCUGACAGUGCCUCGGAGAUGCCCUGAGCUACGUCAGCCCGGCUGGCAUCCAAGGGGUUCCUUAUUGGCUCACAAGACACGUUGCUUUUUCAGGACCAGAGAGACUUGGAGGUCCUCACCUGCAGCCCUGGGCCUUUGUUUAGGCUGUGCUGUGAGGCUGGCUCUCUGUGGUCAGCAUCUCAGCGUCCCUGCCUGGCCAGCAAAGGGGUGACAUUUUCCUUGGGUGCCCUCUUGCAACAUGGCGUUAAAUUCUCAAAAAGGUGCAAACCCUUAGGGUGAAGUUUGUGUCUAGAAUAUAAUGGUUAAGGGCCUCGGUUCUGGAGUCAGAAUGACCAGGGUUUGGGUUCCGGCUCCAUUGCUUUAUAGCUGCCUGAGCCUCCGUUUCCCAGUGUGUGGAACAGCUGGUAACCAGCAUUCCUACUCCCAUGGGUGUUGGAGACAUGAAUGAGAUCGUCAUUACAAAGCGUUCAGCACAGGUUAAGUGCUGAUAGGUGGAAAGGAGAUAAUCAGUGGUAGCGAUUAUUAUUUUAGUUGUCUACUUAUAAAAUCAGAAAAUCGGAAAUAGAAAAAUACAAAGAAGAAAACUAAAAGUGCAUGUAGCCCCAUGGCCCGGCAAUCCGCGCCGCUGGCCUUUUGUUAGCUGUCCUUCCUGGUUUUUUCCUGUGGGUGUGUAUGCAUGUAUAUUUCAUAGGAUCUGGUCAUUGUUGAAUGAGGAUAGUUUAUGUAUGUAUAGACAUGUUAGUUUUUUCUUAAUACCAGGCAUAAUGUAUCUUAACCCACUUUUUUAAAACUUAAAAAUACAUGGA